GGUUCGAGGACCGCGUAGUUGGUUAUCGCAUCUGUCUAACAUUGUAAAAUACCUGCACAGAAGGUCCCCAGUUCGAACCUGGGUCGAAUCA